AGCCCCGUCGUCUAGUGGCCAAGGACAACUGCCUCUGGAGCAGUAAACGCAAGUUCGAAUCUUGCCGGGGCUA
rnacentral:tRNA from 1 species